GGAGGGCAAGUCUGGUGCCAGCAGCCGCGGUAAUUCCAGCUCUCAAAGUGCAUAGAAUUAUUGCUGCGGUUAAAAAGCUCGUAGUUGGAUCUGUGCCAUAGGACGGGGUCCGCCUUCGGGCGCGCACUCCGCUCCUAGGCUUUUUGCUGGUUUUCCCGUCGUAGCCUUCACUGGUUGCGGCGGGUGGCUGGCGAGUUUACUUUGAGAAAAUCAGAGUGCUCAACACAGGCGUUUCGCUUGAAUGAUUGUGCAUGGAAUAAUAGAAAAGGAUUUCGGUCCUCUUUUAUUGGUUUUGUGGACUGAGAUAAUGGUUAACAGGGACAAACGGGGGCAUUCGUAUCGCUGCGUGAGAGGUGAAAUUCUUGGACCGUAGCGAGACGCCCUACUGCGAAAGCAUUUGCCAAGAAUGUCUUCAUUAAUCAAGAACGAAAGUCAGAGGUUCGAAGGCGAUCAAAUACCGCCCUAGUUCUGACCGUAAA
rnacentral:rRNA from 1 species